rnacentral:rRNA from 1 species
UAUCAAUAAGCGGAGGAAAAGAAACUAACAAGGAUUCCCCUAGUAACUGCGAGUGAAGCGGGAAAAGCUCAAAUUUAAAAUCUGUCAGUCUUUGGCUGUCCGAGUUGUAAUCUAGAGAAGUGUUAUCCGCGCUGGACCGUGUACAAGUCUCCUGGAAUGGAGCGUCAUAGAGGGUGAGAAUCCCGUCUUUGACACGGACUGCCAGUGCUUUGUGAUGCGCUCUCAAAGAGUCGAGUUGUUUGGGAAUGCAGCUCAAAAUGGGUGGUAAAUUCCAUCUAAAGCUAAAUAUUGGCGAGAGACCGAUAGCGAACAAGUACCGUGAGGGAAAGAUGAAAAGAACUUUGGAAAGAGAGUUAAACAGUACGUGAAAUUGCUGAAAGGGAAACGCUUGAAGUCAGUCGCGUUGUCCAGGGAUCAACCUUGCUUUUGCUUGGUGUACUUUCUGGUUGACGGGUCAGCAUCAAUUUUGACUAUUGGAAAAAGAUUAGGGGAAUGUGGCAUCUUCGGAUGUGUUAUAGCCCUUGGUUGCAUACAAUGGUUGGGAUUGAGGAACUCAGCACGCCGCAAGGCCGGGUUUUUAACCACGUACGUGCUUAGGAUGCUGGCAUAAUGGCUUUAAUCGACCCGUCUUGAAACACGGACCAAGGAGUCUAACAUGCCUGCGAGUGUUUGGGUGGAAAACUCGAGCGCGUAAUGAAAGUGAAAGUUGAGAUCCCUGUCGUGGGGAGCAUCGACGCCCGGACCAGACCUUUUGUGACGGUUCCGCGGUAGAGCAUGUAUGUUGGGACCCGAAAGAUGGUGAACUAUGCCUGAAUAGGGUGAAGCCAGAGGAAACUCUGGUGGAGGCUCGUAGCGAUUCUGACGUGCAAAUCGAUCGUCAAAUUUGGGUAUAGGGGGCGAAAGACUAAUCGA